AAAAUGGAGCUUGGAAUGCAUGUCACAUAUUUGGGCCAAAGUGGAUGGACGAAUUUGAGAACUAAAAAGGCCAAGAAUGUGAAGAAUUAUGGUCCAAAAGAUGAAGAACUCAGCCCAAAAAUUUGUCACCCCAACUUGCCUUCAUUGCCAUGCAAAACAACAUAGAAUUCCUUUGGAUUCCCAUGCCAUGCUUGAUCACUCUUGUCCCCUACAUAAAUUCUGAUUUCAUGC
rnacentral:lncRNA from 1 species